ensembl:lncRNA
AAAAAAAAACAUUUAACAAAGCAACAAACGAAACAACAAACAGAACAAUAAAUCAAAUACGAUAAAGACGACGAACAUAUGAAUGAAGGUAACACAUGUUUAAUAAUGAACGUUAAUAAAUUCGAUAUUAUAAAUCAAAGGUUUGAAAAAUUAACUGAACAAAAUAAUAAAAAUAAAAAUAAAAGGUUAAGGGAUUAUAAUCGUUUGGUAAAUAAUACUUUUAAAAAAAUUUUUAAAUCCGAAACGUAUCAAAUACCGAGUAAAUUAUAUUUCACCGUACUUAAAAAUAAUACUAUAACUGGUAAUAGUAAUAAUAUUAUAACUGGUAAUAGUAAUAAUACUAAAACUGGUAAUAAUAAAAUUGCAAAAGAGUUAACAGAAAUGGAAAAUAAUAAAAAGGGGUCAAAAAAAGGAUUUUUAAAUAGAUGUAACAUUAAUUACUCACCAUUCAAUUUAAAUAAUGUAAUAAGAAAUACAAACCGCAGUAAUAUUAAGAGUAGGACUAUCGGCAAUACUAGUACUAAUAUUAUUAAUAAUAUAAAUAGAAAAUACAUCCAUGGUGAAAUGGGUACUAAUAUAAACAGAAACAUAAACAUAAACAGAAAUUUAAAUUAUAACAUAAACAGUAACGCAUUCAGCAAUGUACAAAACAACAUAAAUAACAAUAAUAACAAUAAUAACAAUAAUAACAAUAAUAACAAUAANNNNNNNNNNAAUAACAAUAAUAACAAUAAUAACAAUAAUAACAAUAAUAACANCAACAACAAUAACGGCAACAACAAUAACGGCAACAACAAUAACGGCAACAAUAACGGCAACAAUAACGGCAACAAUAACGGCAAUAAUAAUGGCAAUAAUAGUAGCAGUAACGGAAACAAUAGUAACGGAAGCAAUAGCAACGGAAACAAUAACAACGAUAACAACAACGACAAUAACAACGAUAACAACAACGACACUGACAAUAACAAUGACAAUAACAAUGACAAUAACAAUGACAGUAACAAAGAUAACGAAAACAACAACAACAAUAAUAAUAACAGAAACAAUAGCAACAACAAUAGCAGUAACAGUAAUAACAUGGAUGAUAAUACAAAUAAAAAUAUUUAUAUAAGUGAUUUGUUUCCUUCAUCUUCAGAUGUAUCAUCUUUUCCUUCAAGGAUAGAUUACCGCGCAUCUAAUAAUAAUAUAGAACGUAAAUGUAAAAAAAAAUAUAAAAUCUGUCAAAUAAAUAAUAUAGAUACAGCUAACAAUCAUCAUUUAAGUAAUGACAAUAAUUUUAGUAGUGAUAGUUAUAAUAUUAGUAGCGCUAGUCAACCAAGUAAUAAUACAUUUACAAGUAGUAUCUCAUGUGAUGACCUAUUCGAUAACACACAAAGAAGUAGUAACAAUAGUCAACAUAUUACUACUACACAAGUUGAACGAA